CAGAUCGAAGGAGGGAGAGGUCGCGGUGUUAAUCUUUGGGAUGGCUUCAGUCACCAAUAUCCAGAGAAAGCUGGGUCAGAUUUGAAGAAUGGAGACACUACUUGUCAGUCAUAUACGAGAUGGCAGAAAGAUGUAGACGUGAUGGGCGAACUCAAUGCUACUGGCUACAGAUUCUCCUUUGCGUGGUCAAGAAUCAUUCCAA